CCUACGGGUGGCAGCAGUGAGGAAUAUUGGUCAAUGGACGAGAGUCUGAACCAGCCAAGUAGCGUGAAGGAUGACUGCCCUCUGGGUUGUAAACUUCUUUUAUAUGGGAAUAAAAUGUUCCACGUGUGGGAUUUUGUAUGUACCAUAUGAAUAAGGAUCGGCUAACUCCGUGCCAGCAGCCGCGGUAAUACGGAGGAUCCGAGCGUUAUCCGGAUUUAUUGGGUUUAAAGGGAGCGUAGGUGGAUUGUUAAGUCAGUUGUGAAAGUUUGCGGCUCAACCGUAAAAUUGCAGUUGAAACUGGCAGUCUUGAGUACAGUAGAGGUGGGCGGAAUGCGUGGUGUAGCGGUGAAAUGCUUAGAUAUCACGAAGAACUCCGAUUGCGAAGGCAGUUCACUGGACUGCAACUGACACUGAGGCUCGAAAGUGUGGGUAUCAAACAGGAUUAGAUACCCUUGUAGUC
rnacentral:rRNA from 1 species